rnacentral:rRNA from 1 species
GAUAAACGCUGGCGGCGCACAUAAGACAUGCAAGUCGAACGAACUUAACUAUUUGUUUACAAAUAGAGCGGUUAGUGGCGGACUGGUGAGUAAUACGUAAGUAACCUGCCUAUUAGAGGGGAACAACAGUUAGAAAUGACUGCUAAUACCGCAUAUGCCAUAAAAAUCACAUGAUUUUAGUGGGAAAGGAGCAAUCCGCUAAUAGAUGGACUUACGCCUGAUUAGAUAGUUGGUGGGGUAAAGGCCUACCAAGUCAACGAUCAGUAGCCGAACUGAGAGGUUGAACGGCCACAUUGGGACUGAGAUACGGCCCAG